CCUACGGGGCGCAGCAGUGGGGAAUAUUGCACAAUGGGCGAAAGCCUGAUGCAGCAACGCCGCGUGAGCGAUGAAGGCCUUCGGGUCGUAAAGCUCUGUCCUCAAGGAAGAUAAUGACGGUACUUGAGGAGGAAGCCCCGGCUAACUACGUGCCAGCAGCCGCGGUAAUACGUAGGGGGCUAGCGUUAUCCGGAAUUACUGGGCGUAAAGGGUGCGUAGGUGGUUUCUUAAGUCAGAGGUGAAAGGCUACGGCUCAACCGUAGUAAGCCUUUGAAACUGGGGAACUUGAGUGCAGGAGAGGAGAGUGGAAUUCCUAGUGUAGCGGUGAAAUGCGUAGAUAUAUGGAAGAACACCAGUGGCGAAAGCGGCUCUCUGGUCUGUAACUGACGCUGAGGUUCGAAAGCGUGGGUAGCAAACAGGAUUAGAUACCCUUGUAGUC
rnacentral:rRNA from 1 species